rnacentral:ncRNA from 1 species
CGAAACGCAAAGAGUAGGAGUAGUAAAAGCUCAUUAUUUGGUGAAGAGAGCUGCGGGUUGGUGCAACGCAGUCCAAUAAUACUUUGAACUUGCCUAGGAGUGGUAAGGUAAAUAGAAAUGACGGACUAUUCUAUUUAUUUUAACGAUUAACCUUCGUUACCAGGUUUUUUAAGUAGAGUUCUUAUAGGACUAAUUAGAGUGGUACCGCGGUUUGCUUAAGGCACGUCGUCUCUUCU